rnacentral:rRNA from 1 species
AUACGGAGGAUCCGAGCGUUAUCCGGAUUUAUUGGGUUUAAAGGGAGCGUAGGUGGAUUGUUAAGUCAGUUGUGAAAGUUUGCGGCUCAACCGUAAAAUUGCAGUUGAAACUGGCAGUCUUGAGUACAGUAGAGGUGGGCGGAAUUCGUGGUGUAGCGGUGAAAUGCUUAGAUAUCACGAAGAACUCCGAUCGCGAAGGCAGCUCACCGGGCCGGAACUGACACUGAUGCUCGAAAGUGCGGGUAUCAAACAGGAUUAGAUACCCUGGUAGUCCGCACAGUAAACGAUGAAUACUUGUUUUCGGCGAUAUAAUGUCGGAGGCAAAGCGAAAGCGAUAAGUAUUCCACCUGGGGAGUACGCCGGCAACGGUGAAACUCAAAGGAAUUGGCGGGG